CGGCGUGGAUGAGGCAUGCAAGUCGCACGAUAUGGUGGCAACACUGUAUAGUGGCGCAAGGGUUAGUAAUACUUGGGUAAUCUACCUCUGACAUUGGAAUAACGGCUGGAAACGGCCGCUAAUACCGAAUGAGGUGGCUAUGGGCAUCCAUAGCCAUCAAACGCGGGGGACUUAAAGGCCUCGCGGUGAGAGAAGAGCCCAAGGGAUAUCAGCUAGUUGGUGAGGUAAUGGCUCACCAAGGCUAAGACGUCUAGGCGGAUUGAGAGAUUGACCGCCAACACUGGGACUGA
rnacentral:rRNA from 1 species